rnacentral:lncRNA from 11 species
GUCCCGUUUUAUCCUUCCCCCUCGACGCCGAGGCAUCUGUUUUGCUCCCCCCCCCCCAAAUCCCAAAAUACAAAUUAAGGCGUCCUUUGCCUCUCAGACUGGGGAGAAGGAGGGUAUCAAGAGGAGGAGCAGAGGCGGAGCUCCAGGAAACCCGGCUGCUGAUGCUGCUGCGAGGUGCAGCAGUGCGUGCGCGCUUCCCUGCCUGCCUGCCUGGGGAGAUGCGUGCGUCUUGUUGCCUUCGGUAACCAGGGAGCCGCGGAAGGUUCGGCGUGGUGUUUCCGAGGGCGUUUGGGAAGGUGAGCUGCGUGAAGAGGGCUCCUGUGAGGGCGGCGCUGGGCCCCUUCUCCCCGCCGUCUCCCCGCUGGCUGCAUUGCCGGGCUGCGAGGGAUGCUCCCGGCUCCCUUGCGCUGCCCUGUCCUUGGAGGAGGCGGGAGAGGAGGCAGCGCACGGCAGGUUUGGUUCAGGUCUCAGAAACGGAAGCGGUUCUACUGCGCAAUCUCUCUGGAAAAGUGAACAUUUCUUAGCUAGAAAUAAAACCCUGCAGUGACUUACUACAUGCAGUGCUGCAAGUUAUGAUAUUUUGCAAAAUGAAAUGAUCAGACUCUGCCAUCUUAAAGUGGAUAUUCUGUAUACAGAAGUAUUUUUUCUGCAGACCAGAAAUGGCUUCCUCAAGGUUAGCGGCAAGAACACCUCGGGAUAUUGCUGGUGUCAUGCAGAGACUUCAAGGUGAGUGAUUAGUAGAGACUGUAAGCAUAGCUAUGUCUACUUCUUCAGAUUUUACUUAACUCGAGUGAAACACAGCCUUUUGUUUCAUGUUUAGUCUACUGAAAAACAUUCAGCAAAUCCACAAGGAACCUUUGAAUUAGCUCCUUUUGAAAAUGAAAAUGAAUGCUUUUGCAUUCAUUUAAGUCCAAACAUUGUUUGUCUAGCCAGUUCCUAACUUGUUAUUAACAAUGUCCUUAAGAUAGUAAUGUAUCUAAUCCAGCCACUAUGGUUAUUUAAAAGCUACUAUGGUUAUGUGAGAGCAUACUGAGUGAUGCAGAACUGCAGUCAGUAAUUUGUCCAUCCUGUGUACUUGCUGUAAAACAUGCUACUUUUCUGAGAUACAAGUGGUCACUGAAAAUUUAUAAAUGCCAAUACCUAUGUUUAGUUAAUUAACAAAUUACAAUUGCUACAGAAAUACCAAAAGAAUGUAGCUUGUAACACAUAGGGACAAUAUUUUAUUUCUAGACACAAAAAAGAUCAAUUUUCC